UGUUGUAGAUGUAGUUCAUAUGAGCAUGAAUUUUGGAGCUAAAAUUUGGUGCCAUGUUUUUGGGGAAAUUCGGCAAAAUCCAAAGGGUGGAUUUUAGGGUUCAUGUUUGUCUUGUUAAAAGUGUUUUAAAGUGACAUUAGGAACCCCUAAGUACCCUAGUAUGGUAAUAUGUUUCUUCCCUUAAGUUUGAGAGUUUUUAGGGUGUCUUUGGGUGAAAUAUGUUCAUGGAGCUCUUAUGGGUUUUCAUGGAUGUUCUUCAUUGUUCUUGUUAUGUUUUUGGCAAGAACAAAAAGGUUGGGUAUUUUGAUUCAAAUUUUUUGGUUGUUUACAUAAAGUUUUUGUUUGUGAUGGAUGGUUUGAAUUUUCAAUCAAUACCCAUACCAAUCACUUACACCUUUUCCUUGUUUCAAGGAACUAUGUUUUAUGGAAACCUACUUUUUCAAACCAACCCAUCACCUUUUCAACCCAUCACCUUUCACUUUGUUGAAAAAUUUUAAAAGUUUUAUGACAAAACUCUCACCAAAACCGGCCACCCUAAAAGUAGGGUAUUUUUGGGGCUUUUAUGCAAUUACAUAAAGUUUUGAUACUUUUGUGUAUUUGUACUUUGACCUGAAAGUUUACGUUUUUACGUAAAGGCCCAAAAUCACUAAAGGACAAAAUUGUUUUGCUCCUUUAAUGAAGUUUUUGCAUUUGUUGAAAUUUUUUGGGUUCUAGUUGUAAUUACAUGAAGUAGUGGACUUUUGUGUUUUUACAAAGGGACCUCAAAAGUUUAUGUUUUGCAAUCUAGCCCAAUGGUUGAGGUUAUUGCUUUUCGGCCCAAAUUAGUUGAGAACAAAAUAGUUUUGUAUCUUUAAAUAAGAAUUGGAUUUUCAUUUCAUUUUAGCUCCAUUUAAAUCAAUUAUAUGGAUACAAAAACCAAAUGAAAAAUGUUGCAUUCAAGUUUAAUUAGUUAAAGCGUUAAUUAAUUAAAGAAAAGGGUGAUUAUGAACCUAAGCCUACGAUAAUUGAGCUAUGUGAAAGACCGUCUCAAAUUUGUUUGAACCAUGGGAAUGUGUAGAUUAGAUUUUGGUUGUAAUUUGUUAUGAUCAAAUAUUGUAAAAGAGCAUAAGCUCUUCUUUACUUUAAAGUAAUUUGUUUUGAUCAAAUGUUGUAAAAGAGUAUAAGCUCUUCUUUACUUUGAAGUACUCCUUUCUUGUUUUAUUUGAUAUGCAUGAAAUUGGAGUAGUUGGGUCUAACGCCCAAUAGGAAAACACGCCUUAAUAUGAUUAAACGCGUAACUAAAAUCAAUCACCAUCUCUAGACCGAGAUCCAACAUUAGGCUCGUGUUGGAUCUAAUCAAAGGUUCAUAGUCAUCCUAAGGCCCUAAGGCAACUAUAUAGUCCAUCAAUGAAUGCAAACCUUAUGUUAGUAGUACCAUAUACUCUUGCUUUAAAAACCAUUUUGCAAGCAUAGUGGGAGUAUUAUAUACAACUAAAUCAAUCACAUGGACCAAUAGUUGUAAUAGGACCAAAUUGUUUUAAUAAGAUUAAAUGCAUGCUUAUAUGUGAUGAGACCUAAAACCCUCAACCAAACCAUUAUUAAGUUGAUAAGCGUGAGAGUGCUUUGAACACUCUUUCGUGGCCUUCCACCGUGGUAGGCUCCAAUCGUUUGUGACUCGUACACUGACUUCACCCUAUCAUGGGGGAGUACAAAGUGCGUGCUUACACUCAGGAGGAGUUCUAUAUGCAUACAUGAUGUUGUGAAGGUAGGCAACGAGAAUGAUCAACAUCAUAUCAUUGUGAGGUUGUUCUUGAACCCCUACUUGGUGGGAAUGACCUAACUAAGUGCAAUGGAGCCAACAUCAUAUCAUUGUGAGGCUUCAUUCUCUAGAGGCCAAAUAAGAUGGGUACUUGCAAGAGAUGCAAAUGAGUAAGCGUACUCUCUCAUUAUUAUUGAUACUAGCCAACAUCAUAUCAUUGUGAGGUGGGCUUGGUAAUGAUGAGUCUCCCAUACCCUACUAAGAGUUUCCUCCAAAACUCUCGAAUUCCGAUGAGGGAUAUGGAAUUUGCCAAAAAUAGUGGGUGGUGCUAUUUGAUUUAAAGACCCGGAUCAAAUGGCUUAAAAUCAAUCAAUUUAUAUUCGUUAUGUAUUUAUUUACCAAUAUAUUUGCAAACGCUAUCCAUAACUUGACAAAGAAAAGCCGAAAGCUUUAGUUUCCGGACUUGGUACUACAAUCCCAUAGAUUGACUUUAAUGGCUUGUAUAUGUACCUAAGUAGUCUCAUCCUCGCAAUCUUCCUAUUGAUAAUAUAUCAUUGGAAGAACAUGUUAGAUAAGUCUAUCAUAAAGAGGACAACACUUUUAAUGUCAUAAUUCUUCAAUUACAAAUUGUUGUAUGAAGAAGUAAGAGUUGCUUUGAACAACACUUAGUUAAUGCAAACACUAGUGCUUGUUUCUUUGUUAAAUGAACAAAGAACUUGAGAAGUAAGCACAAGGGCAUGGACACUUUAUGUGCCAUGAUUCUUCACUUACAAAUUGUUAUAUGAAGAAAUGAGAGUUGCCUUGAACAACUCUUGAAAGUUUGUAAUUAUGUUUAGAACAUAAUGGUUG
rnacentral:lncRNA from 1 species